UAUCCAUCAACUAGAGACUCUGACAGCUGCCAACAUCUUUAAGAUGACAGUAUGAUGGCCAAGUUGGAUCAAGAUGGGGCAAUGUAAGCAGGGAUCUGUAUUAAAGAUGAAGGGAAAAAAUGAUGAAACUGGCAACUUUUGAGGUUGCUGGUUGUCAUUUUCAUUACUUUGAUUUUGCUUAGUGUACCAGAAAAUCAGCAACAUAAAUCAGAUGUCACGCAAGACCAGCACCAUCAAUUGAAGCUGAAAAUGAACAUCCACGUGCCCCC